rnacentral:rRNA from 1 species
UUGGAGGGCAAGUCUGGUGCCAGCAGCCGCGGUAAUUCCAGCUCCAAUAGCGUAUAUUAAAGUUGUUGCAGUUAAAAAGCUCGUAGUUGAAUUUCGGGAUCAUCAGGUUGGUCGUGCCUCUGGUAUGUACUUUCCUCGAUGGUUCCUCCUUCUUGAAGAACCGUAAUGCCAUUAAUUUGGUGUUGCGGGGAAUCAGGACUGUUACUUUGAAGAAAUUAGAGUGUUUAAAGCAGGCAAUCGCUUGAAUACAUUAGCAUGGAAUAAUGAAAUAGGACGUUCGAUCCUAUUUUGUUGGUUUCUAGGAUUGACGUAAUGAUUAAUAGGGAUAGUUGGGGGCAUUAGUAUUCAAUUGUCAGAGGUGAAAUUCUUGGAUUUAUUGAAGACUAACUACUGCGAAAGCAUUUGCCAAGGAUGUUUCCAUUAAUCAAGAACGAAAGUUAGGGGAUCGAGGACGAUCAGAUACCGUCGUAGUCUUAACCAUAAACUAUGCCGACUAGGGAUCGGAUGAUGUUAAUUUUUUAAUGACUCAUUCGGCGCCUUACGGGAAA